rnacentral:rRNA from 1 species
UGAGGAAUAUUGGUCAAUGGGCGGAAGCCUGAACCAGCCAUGCCGCGUGCAGGACGACGGCCCUACGGGUUGUAAACUGCUUUUCCGGGGGAAGAAUAACCCCCCUGCGGGGGGGGAUGCCGGUACCCCGGGAAUAAGGAUCGGCUAACUCCGUGCCAGCAGCCGCGGUAAUACGGAGGAUACUAGCGUUAUCCGGAUUUACUGGGUUUAAAGGGUGCGUAGGCGGACCCCUAAGUCCGCGGUGAAAGUCUGCGGCUCAACCGUAGGAUUGCCGUGGAUACUGGGGGUCUUGGAUGCGGUCGGGGCGGGCGGAAUGCGUGGUGUAGCGGUGAAAUGCAUAGAUAUCACGCAGAACGCCGAUAGCGAAGGCAGCUCGCCGGGCCGAUAUUGACGCUGAGGCACGAAAGCGUGGGGAUCGAACAG